rnacentral:rRNA from 1 species
GCUUUCGACCUGAGGUCAGGCAAGACCACCCGCUGAACUA